AUGAACGCUAGCGACAGGCCUAACACAUGCAAGGUCGAGGGGCAGCACAAGGAGCAAGUCUGAGGUGGCGACCGGCGCACGGGUGAGUAACACGUAUGCAACCUGCCUGUAAGCGGGGAAUAACCCGUUGAAAGACGGACUAAUACCGCAUAAUACUAAAUUACUGCAUGGUAAUUUAUUUAAACAUUUAUGGCUUACAGAUGGGCAUGCGCAUGAUUAGCUAGUUGGAGAGGUAACGGCUCCCCAAGGCAACGAUCAUUAGGGGUUCUGAGAGGAAGGUCCCCCACACUGGUACUGAGACACGGACCAGACUCCUACGGGAGGCAGCAGUGAGGAAUAUUGGUCAAUGGACGAGAGUCUGAACCAGCCAAGUCGCGUGCAGGAAGAAUGUCCUAUGGAUUGUAAACUGCUUUUGCAGGGGAAUAAAGUGCAUCACGUGUGAUGUUUUGUAUGUACUCUGCGAAUAAGGAUCGGCUAACUCCGUGCCAGCAGCAGC
rnacentral:rRNA from 1 species